CAUAUCUACCUGGACCCAGUGU
rnacentral:miRNA from 1 species